rnacentral:rRNA from 1 species
GUAACACAGGUGCUGCAUGGCUGUCGUCAGCUCGUGUCGUGAGAUGUUGGUUAAGUCCCGCAACGAGCGCAACCCUUGUCAUUAGUUGCUACAUUCAGUUGGGCACUCUAAUGAGACUGCCGGUGACAAACCGGAGGAAGGUGGGGAUGACGUCAAGUCCUCAUGGCCCUUAUAGGUGGGGCUACACACGUCAUACAAUGGAUGGUACAAAGGGUCGCCAACCCGCGAGGGGGAGCCAAUCCCAUAAAGCCAUUCGUAGUCCGGAUCGCAGUCUGCAACUCGACUGCGUGAAGUCGGAAUCGCUAGUAAUCGUGGAUCAGAAUGUCACGGUGAAUACGUUCCCGGGUCUU